UGUAUAGGGUAGGCUGAAACAAGAAAAAUAAAAAUCAAAGUAUGUGUGGCGUUUUGGGGGGGUAGAGGGAAUGGUAGAAUGAAUGGAUGCUCGGAAGCAACAAGAAAUAAUAACAAAAUAAAACUCACAAGACUUUUCACUCUUUUUUUUUAUACUUCGAAUUUUUUUUGUUUUUUUUUCAAUCAAAAAUUUUUUCUCGAUUUUUUUUUUGAAUUUCCUCUUCUUCUUUUUUUUGAUUUUUUUUUCAAUUACAAUAUGCUGAAAUACAAAGGGAAGAGAAAAUAAAAUAAAAUUACAACCUAAAUUUUUUUAUUUUUCUUUCACGUUACGAACCUACUCCGAGCUUGAUACGAACGUCGGCGCUCCUCGUUUUAGUAGCUCUGAUACCAAAUGAUG
rnacentral:lncRNA from 1 species